CCUACGGGUGGCAGCAGUCGAGAAUCAUUCACAAUGGGGGAAACCCUGAUGGUGCGACGCCGCGUGGGGGAAUGAAGGUCUUCGGAUUGUAAACCCUUGUCAUGUGGGAGCAAAUGAAAAAGAUAGUACCACAAGAGGAAGAGACGGCUAACUCCGUGCCAGCAGCCGCGGUAAUACAGAGGUCUCAAGCGUUGUUCGGAAUCACUGGGCGUAAAGCGUGCGUAGGCUGGUUUGUAAGUCGUAUGUGAAAGGCGUGGGCUCAACCCGCGGACGGCACAUGAUACUGCGAGACUAGAGUAAUGGAGGGGGAAGUGGAAUUCUUGGUGUAGCAGUGAAAUGCGUAGAUAUCGAGAGGAACACUCGUGGCGAAGGCGAGUUCCUGGACAUUAACUGACGCUGAGGCGCGAAGGCCAGGGGAGCGAAAGGGAUUAGAUACCCGUGUAGUC
rnacentral:rRNA from 1 species